rnacentral:rRNA from 1 species
CCAAUAGCGUAUAUUAAAGUUGUUGCAGUUAAAAAGCUCGUAGUUGAAUUUCGGGAUCGACGGGUCGGUCGCGCCUCUGGUGUGUACUGGCCCUGUCGGUUUCUCCCUUCUGACGAACCACGAUGUCAUUAAUUUGGCGUCGUGGGAAAUCAGGACUGUUACUUUGAAAAAAUUAGAGUGUUUAAAGCAGGCAUUCGCUUGAAUACAUUAGCAUGGAAUAAUGAAAUAGGACGUUUGAUCUUAUUUUGUUGGUUUCUAAGAUCGACGUAAUGAUUAAUAGGGAUAGUUGGGGGCAUUAGUAUUCAAUUGUCAGAGGUGAAAUUCUUGGAUUUAUUGAAGACUAACUACUGCGAAAGCAUUUGCCAAGGAUGUUUUCAUUAAUCAAGAACGAAAGUUAGGGGAUCGAAGACGAUCAGAUACCGUCGUAGUCUUAACCAUAAACUAUGCCGACUAGGGAUCGGAUGAUGUUAAUUUUUUAAUGACUCAUUCGGCGCCUUACG